rnacentral:rRNA from 1 species
UACGUAGGGGGCAAGCGUUGUCCGGAAUUAUUGGGCGUAAAGAGCGUGUAGGCGGCCCGACCAGUCCGCUGUGAAAGUCCAGGGCUCAACCCUGGAAUGCCGGUGGGAUACUGUCGGGCUAGAGUCCGGAAUGGGCGAGUGGAAUUCCUGGUGUAGCGGUGAAAUGCGCAGAUAUCAGGAGGAACACCAAGUGGCGAAGGCAGCUCGCUGGGACGUGACUGACGCUGAGACGCGAAAGCGUGGGGAGCAAACAGG